UCCCUCCUCUUCCCAUCUAUUUUGUACACACAAAAAAGAGAAGACCAAGAACCUAAAAAUUAAACCACAAUUUUUAACCCAAUAAAUACCAUUAUAAAGAUUCUUUAUUUCACACGGCUACAUCAAAUCAAAUCGCAUCGAAACAAAUCCCAAGAUUCUUGAAUUCGUUUACUUUGUUUCUUGCUUUGGUUGUACUCAAAUGGGGUUAUAAGAUUAAUACACAGUAAUCCCUCAAAGAAAUUAUCCCUAUUUUACCAAUUCUUUCUCGCAAUCGAUCUGUAAUAACACAGAAAAACAAAAAUAACCGACAAAAAAAUCAAAAACAAGAAAAAACCAGAUCACAAAAAUAAAGAUUAUAAAAGUUUUCCAUGUUAUAAAUGCUUUAAAUAACCAAUCAAACAAGAAAAAAAUUAAAAACACAAACCCACUAAUAAAAUCACCAUUUUUAGGUCCCUUUCUGGAGGAGCUAUUUUAAUUAAGGAAGCGAAAGAGAAAUAUUUAUAUAUCUAAAUAUAAUAUAAGAAUUGAAUUAAUCAUUCAAAUCCUCCAAAGCCCAAAAACAAAUUUUCAAAAAUAAAUAAUAAAAAAAGAUUGAAAAUUGAAGAAACCGGGAAUCAAUUGUUCCAAUACAAAGCUCAAAAAAAAUUAUACAAAUACAAAUACGUAUAUACAGAGCUAGAGGGAGAGAACAAGAAACUCAGGUGAGGGGAGGGGUGGGGUGGGGUUUGGUACCUGAAAGGAGGAAGAAACGAGUUGAAAACUGAGAAAAUGUUUCUUGAAAUUCAGAAACUAUUUUGAUGCGCUUUUUCGUUUCGGUUGUUG
rnacentral:misc_RNA from 1 species